rnacentral:rRNA from 1 species
GACGAACGCUGGCGGCGUGCUUAACACAUGCAAGUCGAACGGAAAGGCCCUGCUUUUGUGGGGUGCUCGAGUGGCGAACGGGUGAGUAACACGUGAGUAACCUGCCCUUGACUUUGGGAUAACUUCAGGAAACUGGGGCUAAUACCGGAUAGGAGCUCCUGCUGCAUGGUGGGGGUUGGAACGUUUCGGCGGUUGGGGAUGGACUCGCGGCUUAUCAGCUUGUUGGUGGGGUAGUGGCUUACCAAGGCUUUGACGGGUAGCCGGCCUGAGAGGGUGACCGGCCACAUUGGGACUGAGAUACGGCCCAGACUCCUACGGGAGGCAGCAGUGGGGAAUAUUGCACAAUGGGCGGAAGCCUGAUGCAGCAACGCCGCGUGCGGGAUGACGGCCUUCGGGUUGUAAACCGCUUUCACCUGUGACGAAGCGUGAGUGACGGUAAUGGGUAAAGAAGCACCGGCUAACUACGUG